GUGCAUCUGCUUGACAGACUUGGAGCAAAUGGCCAUUGCUUCUUGAGUUCUUGCUGAGAUGCAACAGUAACAGGUUCCUUGCGCUUUCUACCUGUCUGACCUUGUAGCAGUCUGGAUUGAAUAAAGGAACACAAAC